AGAGUUUGAUCAUGGCUCAGGAUGAAUGCUGGCGGCGUGCCUAAUACAUGCAAGUCGAGCGGUAAGGCCCUUCGGGGUACACGAGCGGCGGACGGCUGAGUAACGCGUGGGAACAUGCCCCAAAGUGAGGGAUAACGCACCGAAAGGUGUGCUAAUACCGCAUAUGGUCUUCGGAUUAAAGGAUUUAUCCGCUUUGGGAGUGGCCCGCGUACGAUUAGAUUGUUGGUGAGGUAACGGCUCACCAAGUCGACGAUCGUUAACUGGUCUGAGAGGAUGAUCAGUCAGACUGGAACUGAGACACGGUCCAGACUCCUACGGGAGGCAGCAGUAAGGAAUCUUCCACAAUGGGCGAAAGCCUGAUGGAGCAACGCCGCGUGCAGGAUGAAGGCCCCCGGGUCGUAAACUGCUUUUAUGAGUGAAGAAUAUGACGGUAACUCAUGAAUAAGCACCGGCUAACUACGUG
rnacentral:rRNA from 1 species